CUGUGACUCCUACGGGAGGCAGCAGUGGGGAAUAUUGCACAAUGGGCGCAAGCCUGAUGCAGCCAUGCCGCGUGUGUGAAGAAGGCCUUCGGGUUGUAAAGCACUUUCAGUUGUGAGGAAGGUGGUGUCGUUAAUAGCGGCAUCAUUUGACGUUAGCAACAGAAGAAGCACCGGCUAACUCCGUGCCAGCAGCCGCGGUAAUACGGAGGGUGCGAGCGUUAAUCGGAAUUACUGGGCGUAAAGCGCAUGCAGGUGGUUUGUUAAGUCAGAUGUGAAAGCCCGGGGCUCAACCUCGGAACUGCAUUUGAAACUGGCAGACUAGAGUACUGUAGAGGGGGUAGAAUUUCAGGUGUAGCGGUGAAAUGCGUAGAGAUCUGAAGGAAUACCGGUGGCGAAGGCGGCCCCCUGGACAGAUACUGACACUCAGAUGCGAAAGCGUGGGGAGCAAACAGGAUUAGAUACCCUGGUAG
rnacentral:rRNA from 1 species